rnacentral:rRNA from 1 species
AUUGAACGCUGGCGGCAGGCCUAACACAUGCAAGUCGAGCGGAUGAAGGUAGCUUGCUACCUGAUUCAGCGGCGGACGGGUGAGUAAUGCCUAGGAAUCUGCCUGGUAGUGGGGGACAACGUUUCGAAAGGAACGCUAAUACCGCAUACGUCCUACGGGAGAAAGUGGGGGAUCUUCGGACCUCACGCUAUCAGAUGCGCCUAGGUACGAUUAGCUAGUUGGUGAGGUAAAGGCUCACCAAGGCGACGAUCGUUAACUGGUCUGAGAGGAUGAUCAGUCACACUGGAAAUGAGACACGGUCCAGAAUCCUACGGGAGGCAGCAGUGGGGAAUAUUGGACAAUGGGCGAAAGCCUGAUCCAGCCAUGCCGCGUGUGUGAAGAAGGUCUUCGGAUUGUAAAGCACUUUAAGUUGGGAGGAAGGGCAGUAAGUUAAUACCUUGCUGUUUUGACGUUACCGACAGAAUAAGCACCGGCUAACUUCGUGCCAGCCGCCGCCGUAACAC